UACGUAGGGUGCAAGCGUUAAUCGGAAUUACUGGGCGUAAAGCGUGCGCAGGCGGUUUUGUAAGUCAGAUGUGAAAUCCCCGGGCUUAACCUGGGAACUGCGUUUGAAACUACAAGGCUAGAGUGUGGCAGAGGGGGGUGGAAUUCCACGUGUAGCAGUGAAAUGCGUAGAGAUGUGGAGGAACACCGAUGGCGAAGGCGGCCCCCUGGGUUAACACUGACGCUCAGGCACGAAAGCUAGGGGAGCAAACAGG
rnacentral:rRNA from 1 species